UAUUGCAGCAAGCAUUGCCAAUUUUCUGCUGUAUAUGGACUGAUAGAGUGUCCUUUAGCUCUCCUUUGGGAACCUUAAUAUCAGUGCUCGCAAAUCCAGACAAUUGUUUAUCUAAGGUGAAAUUGGCUUGCUUUUUUCUUAGCCUCCAAGCUCUGGGGCAAGGGGGUUUUGCAUUUACAAGCUGUGAAUUACAAUUAAUGCAAAUAUAUGUAGUAUGAAAAUGGGGUACAGAAAACAAUCAAACAAAACCCUUCAACUUGCCAUUGGAUCUGUCACCAAUAGGCUAAAUACAUAAACAUCAGAAGUCUUUCCAUUGAGAAUGAGAUACUUCCUAAGGGUACCUUCCGUUUGGAACCCUGCCUUUUCCAAUACCCUCUGUGAGGCCUUGUUAUCCACAUCGACAAGACCUUGCACUCUCUCCACAUAUGGAAACUCCUUAAACACAAUUGGAACAACCAUUUUCACAGCUUUUGUGGCAAUACUUUUGCCCCAGUAUUUUGAGCCCAAAGCAUAGCUGAUUGAUCCUCUGCAUUUUUCAUUGGCAGAACAUGGCUUGACUGCUAUGAACCCAAUUGGCUUGCCUUCCAAACAAAUAGCACGGCACCAUGGGCGGGGAAUGACAACUUCCUUUAAGUAACUCAAUGCAUCUUCUCUUGAAGUGAAGUACCUCAAUCUUGUUCGACUGAUCACUUUAUCGUCACACGACCAUUUCAUGAAGUCAUCGACAUCUGAUAGUUCAUAGGGCCUUAGCGUGAUUUCCAUCGGUAUAAUUAUAUUUGGACCUUAGUUGCUCUGGAUCUUUUUGAGCACUUUAGUACUUGGUAUUUGUAUCAAAGGCUUCAAUUGAGUUUAACCUUUUGUUUUUGGCCUAAUGUUGAUUAAGCUUAUCGAGUGGAACACUUUUAUCAUCCAUUUUAUACAAGCAGAGGACCCUAGCCUACCAGUUCACAAUUCCAUUUGCCCAUAAACCUUUUAGCCUUUCCAACCGGAUCAGUGGACCUUUGAAUUCUUGUUCAAAGGCAAGUAAAAAUAGUCUUCUUCUUCCUUUUUUUAACAGGUAAGUAAGUCAAUUUUUUACAAGUAAAGGUUAUAGUCAUCAUUAUUUAGUGCAACUGUUUGUUAUAUAGUUUUCCAUUCGAAUCAUGGUUUCAUCCUAUGUUACAUGAAUAUGGAAUCAAAUGUCAAAUAUGAGUAUAUCACGUUUUUUAUAAGUUUUACGUUAAUUUUGAGAAUUCAAAUAUCAUAUUUAUAUAAAAAUAAAAUAUUUAAAAAAUAUCAGAUACGAAUAUAUUAAGAUGAAAUCAAGAGUUCGCGUAACAUAAAUUGUAUCUGCACUUUAUGAUAUCUACUUUAAGCAUAUUUCUCAACAUUUUGCACCAAUAAAGUAUGUACCCAGAAACGCUUGUGGUAAUUUGUUAUAAACCUAUACCUUCUUCAAUAGAGUUCUUUCCAAUGCGCAGAUUUCACUUUUCGAUAAAAACUUGGGCGCUACUUCAAUCGGCAGGUGGUCAACCGAGGGCGGCGUAAUACAAGCAAACGUUACAAACAAGUUUGCCAGUUGAUGCAUGCAUCCAGUACUCACCACCCCAAGUAAUGGAAAAUUAAGCAGGUUUGGUCCCUAGUAUUUUUUUCUUCUGGUC
rnacentral:lncRNA from 1 species